rnacentral:rRNA from 1 species
CCUACGGGAGGCAGCAGUGAGGAAUAUUGGUCAAUGGCCGGAAGUCUGAACCAGCCAAGCCGCGUGAAGGACGAAGGUGCCAAGCAUUGUAAACUUCUUUUGUCAAGGGACAAAAUCCGGCUCGAGAGCCUGACCGAGGGUACUUUAAGAAAAAGCAUCGGCUAACUCCGUGCCAGCAGCCGCGGUAAUCCGGAGGAUGCGAGCGUUAUCCGGAUUUAUUGGGUUUAAAGGGUGCGUAGGCGGGCUGUUAAGUCAGCGGUAAAAGCCCGGGGCUAAACCCCGGCGCGCCGUUGAAACUGGCUGUCUUGAGAUGGCGAGAGGUAUGCGGAAGGCGUAGUGUAGCGGUGAAAUGCUUAUAUAUUGCGCAGAACUCCGAUUGCGAAGGCAGCAUACCGGAGGCGAUCUGACGCUGAGGCACGAAAGCGUGGGUAUCGAACAGGAUUAGAUACCCGAGUAGUC